CCUGCCACACGGAUUUCGUCGCCCCGCCCGUUCAAUCGCGCGGGCGCGCCCCCCUCCGUGAGUUCUUUUUUCCACCGCAGGGUUCUCUACCCUCUCAUCUGUACCCGCAAUCGGAUUGGCCUGGCAGCUUCAAUUCACAUGAGCCCUCCUUCCGUGAUUGCAUCCAAUCCCCGCGAAACCUACCCUCCUCGAUCGCUGCCUUCCCGUGCCCUUCCGUGAUUAUUGCAGCCGGCGCCCACGAGGAAGAGCUUGGCCUUCCGUGAUUGCAGCAGGCGGCCUUUCGUGAUUUUCUUCUAUAGACCAUCGUGAUUUCCUUGGUUUCUUGAUCCAGCCCGCCGGUUGCUGCCCCAUCCACCUGCUCUCCUCGAGCUGAAGCAAUUAUAUACGGCGGGCGGGCGUACCGGCCGGCACGGCGCUCGGAGAGGCGGUGGCCGGCGUAUCUAUGGAAGCUCCAUGCGUCCCCACGCCUCCGCGGAGGCCGAACUGCAACAGGCGUGGCGGCAGCUCGAUGGGGAGCAGCACGGGGGCGGGAUGCCGCACCGGGGACGUUGGUGCCUCUCUUUCUCCCAGAUCCGGCGGGCGCAGGAUCCAGUGCCGAGGAUGACCGGCGUGGGAAGGGCUCCGGUGGGGAAGGUCGGCGAGCGCGGAAUCUGGCCGUGGGGACUGCCGGUGCGGGCGGCGGCCGCGGGAUGCGGCUACGGCCGGUGCGUGUGGACCUCCGAUCCGCAGUGGACGAUGCCCGACGAAGGAUACGCAGAUGGAGAUGGGUCGGAUGUUUAGACUCAUCUGAAUGAGCAUCGCAUGAUGAGAUUUUUAUGAUCAUCGUCAAAGAUGAGUGAGCAGCUGGUGGUUCCAGAGGGGCUUCCCCUCUGCCUCCAACACGUGAAGGGAUCCCCUGAAGAUGACUUCAAUCUCCAUGUAGCUGCGUCCUUCCUGAGGUAUUCCUGUCCUCAUUUUUAGAUGUCAUGGUGCCAUGAUUUCAACAAUCUUUCUGCUACAGGCUUGCAAUCAAGAUGCUCAGUAUAUCAGCUCUAAUAUUAUAUUUAGUGGAAACAAUCAUUCUGCUUCAUUAAAUCACAUUAGAACACAAUUUGUGUGAAAAUUACUUUUGGCAUUUGAACUAUAAUAUGAAUCGUUGUAUGAUAGGUUAACUAUUCAGUUUGAGAAUUUGAGUACCUGAUUUAUAUCAUGGUUUAAAGCACCUCGUGAACUCUACCUUUAAAUUGAUAGUAUUCUGAGAUCUUUUAUUCUACAAGCUAAUCUCAUGAUCAUAAAAUUAAUUGGCGUCGUCCGAGCUGAGAACAAGGAUCGACAGUUCUAUAGUUUUAAUCAAAUCCUGGCAGAUCUUAUAUGAUAUGCUUGGAUAGCGGAGUGUGAUAAUUUUUUUAUGGUGAGUUUUGUUUGGCAGAGUUGUAGGGGUGCCUUUUGUCCCCCUUUCACAGUUCAUCCCAUUUGUUUAUUAUAAAUUCUGAUUUAUGGACCUACCUGAAUUUGAAGUUUCAGUUAGAUUAGUUUUACUUUUGCUCCCUGCAAUUUCGCCCAUCUACUUCUAAAAGAUUAACUUGGUACUUGUCAUGAUAGGAAGUUUUUUCCCUAAAUGGUUUUUUAUUUCAUGUUUGUUACUUUUGAGCUAUUUUCUUUUGGUUCUUGUACUUUGGGUCUGCAUGCUCAUGAGUAGGGUGGUAAUGGUUGUCUGAUGCCUAGAAAUAUUAAGAACCUGGUGUCGGGUACCACGAUUAGGGAUACCCUAAUCAGGGUACUAAGACCACCCUAAAAACACAAACACAUAUUAGGCAACUGAGCCCACGAAGGCCCACGGCCUCAUUCCCAAUCUGGAAGAAAGAAAGGGACUCAAAGAAGCCCAGCACGCGGCCCAUCCGCACCCCCCCGGACCCGCGGGAUGAUCUCCGCCUCGCUCGAGGGCUCCCAUCGGGACCCUCGACUGCGCCCCGCAUCUCCGCCUCGCUCGAGGGUAGCGAACCUACCCUCGAGCGGGCGAAACAUCUCCGCCUUGCUCGAGGGUAGCGAACCUACCCUCGAGCAGGACGAAUCAUCUCCGCCUCGCUCGAGGCCACCCGUCGACGUAAAGGACAAACGGCCCUUCCGCUCACCCGCCCGUCGUACGGAGGCAUUAAAUGCCAACCACUCCUCCACAGCGCGGACAGACGGCGUCAGGCCGCCAUUCCCCACAGUGGCUGUGACCGGAGUCCCGUCCGCCACGUCCGCCAACUCCGGUCACUGCUUCGCCAUCCCGGACGCUGUGGCAACACUGUGGAACCUGCGACGCGGGACGAGACGUGCUCGGCACAGCUCCCGUUACUAUUCUACCAACUCCGGCUGUCCGGACUCCGGACUCCACCUCACCACACGUAUGGCCCCGGGCCGGCCCCCUGCUCGGGAAGGGGUCCGGCGUCGCCACGUGCCCCUCAAGGAGGGACGCUCAGCGCUAGCAGCCGGAGGCCCGGACCUCCCCCCUCGAGGGGUCCGGGAUCUCCACGUGACUCCCGGACCUCCUUAGUGCACCCGCCAGCACUCCGUCCAAGGGGGGUCCGGGACCGCCACGCGCACCAUCACCGUUGGCGCACAUAUAUACGCAAGACCAUGACCUGCAGGGCUCAUGGAGCGCCACCACGCCACAUCUGGAGGACUGUACACCCUACAGCGACGACCACGCUGACUGCUGGAGCAGGCAGGACGCCGGUGCGAUCUCCGCAAAACAAGGACGAUACCCAGGACGACUGCCACGCCCGACGUCAUGCCCCACAGUGUACUUUCCACAGUGCUCGACCACUGCACCCCCGCGAUUCGGGGGAAACCGACGACUUCCACGUUCCCCUGCGCAUGUACACCGUCCCUCCUUGUGACUAUAAAAGGAGGAGGCGGGCUUCCUUUAAAGGGGACGUUCGCGAUCAUCGUCACGCAAUCCGACCACUCGAUAGAACACAACACUCAGCACCCGAUAUUGGCACUCGCCUCAAUCAACUUCUCCUCUAGCAGAGACUUGGGAACUUCCCUCCCUCUCUCGCCUCGCCUGUACCCCCUACUACAGAUACCUCCGGUGCAAGAUAAUACAGUGCCCUCGCACACCCCCUUUGCUGGACGUACGGCCCCGUGGCCGGAACCAGGAUAAACCCGUGCGUUACUGUGUUGCCUCUUGCAUCAACAUCUGGGACGAGGAAACACGCAGCAUUACUAGUUGGGAUCCGGACCGCCGGGUCAGGACACCGACACCUGGCUCAUGGAUGGCUGUCUGAUUUUGCAAAUAUCAUAUAUCCAUAUCAUGCAGAACAGGCUUGAUAGGAGCACUCCAUCUUCUGAUCGACAAAAUCUUGUGGACAUGUUUAAUGACCUUGAAAAUGCAAGAGUAAAAUGCGGGUUGAUAUCAACUCAUGCUGGAUCUCUGGGCAUCAAACAACAUGCUGCAAAUCAUGUAGUUCUUCUGGAUGCAUCCUUGAAUCCAGCACACGAUCUGCAACUGCAAGCCAUUUAUCGAGUUUAGAGGCAAGAACUUGUCACCUGAGUUGCUCAUUAGUUGCACUUGCGAUUAUUUAUUUGAGCUAUAGAUGCGAUUAUUUAUUUAUUCAGUGGGAAUAUUCUUUCCAGGUAUGGACAGACCAAAGUUGUAUAUGCUUAUUGCCUAAUGACACAUCGAACAAUGGAAGAGAAAAUAUAUAAGCAGCAGGUGGAUUGCAGGUUAACAUGAACAUGAAGCCCGUCUCCAAGGUAUCAAGCCUGGACAGCUUACUGAUUUGGGAGUACCUUACAUCCUGUGUUGCAAUUUUGAUAUGACAGCACGUUCCUGUUUAACCAGUGAUGUAACCAAAGGAGGUUAUCUUGAGGUUGGGGUAACAAAAGGAGGUUAUCUUGAGGUUCCCUAGGUGGUUUGGUUCGCCUUGAUAGACACUUCAUCAAGAACCCAUUGGUUCUUUUUCAGAAGUGCUCAACAUAACCUUAUCAAGCUUAUUUAGUAUACUGUGGAUGUUCUUGAAGCAAUGACAGGGUAUUCUUGAAGCAAUGGCCUACAUGGUUAUAUGCCUUUCACUGGCUUCAUUAGACAAUGGAAGAUAUUGUUCCUGGAAUUUAACUUGCAGAAAUGAUACAUAACUAUGCUUUGGCAAAAGGUGAGAACGACAAUUUCUGAUAGAACUAGCUGGUCCGCUUGGUGUUUGGUGAAGAUAAACAACCAUAAGGUAGUAAGGUACAUGACUAUGCUUCUAUUUUUUUUUAAAAAAAUACAUUUCCCCUACAUCAUGGCGUCAAUAUAAUCUGCAGCAUUAAGAUUAUAUUUUUGGUAAUUAUUUUCUCAUAUUCCUUUAUGCGUCAAUAUAACUUGCUCUUCAGUUGUGUUUCCUUCUCAGUUCUAUUGUCACAACUUCUGAUCUGUCACUAGCUCCACCAUAUUUUUCCUGUUACUCUACUUAAGCAGCUUCAUUGCUUGGUUGCACAUUGAAUGUCCUGACAAAUGGGAGCAUUGCUAGCAGAUUUCUCUUCUCUGGAUAACCGUACCAAACAUGAGGGAAUCGCCUUCAACACAAGGGGAGCCAUCUACGUCUGCUACAGUUUGUUGAAUUUCCAAAUUUUCCCUGCUGUUAUCCCAUGCACUGAAUUGCCAUAACUUCGUUCAACUCUUAUCCCUUGGUCAGGCAGAUUGCAGUGGAAGCCCCUCUCAAGAAAACACAGGUCAAAUUGUGCCUUCACAUGUUUUUUAGAAUAGAGCUUUGCUGUUUCAAGGCCUUGUAGAGCGUGCACAGAAAUUGUUCGGGAUCAAAGCUUUUUUUUUUUUUUGAAGAAAUGGAUCAAAGCUUACCUACAAUUGAGGAUGGGACAGCCGGAUUCUUGGAGAUCUUGGACUCUGUGUGGUCAGCAAAAGCACCAAACUGAAUGUCAUUGCGGAUGAUUUGUAAAAAUGCUUUCAAUGAAAGAUGUUAUCUGAACUGUCUCAUGUGAACCAUCUCACUGCUCUUCAGAAAAAAUGAGCAAAAGCUACCUGAUUCAGUUGUUUACUUGUUGGUUCCAGGCCAGUCGGUUACCACGCGGAUAGUGAGCUAUCAGUUUCCAACUUUUUUAUGCUAACAUUUUUAUAGGUCUGUUUAGUAACCAUGGAUACUUCUCCAAGAUGGGUCUAGCUUGUCAUAUUGCCAAAGUUCAUACUGAGUCUUCAUUGAGUAAAAACACAGGAGAUAAAGGAAUACAUAGAAGAAAUAUUUUGGGGUCAAGGAAAACGAGCGCUACUUCUCGGUCAUAGCAAGAGCAGUGUAGAUUUGGCUGCAGUACUCGUCGUAUUAGGUUAUCCGCGCUUGUCAUAUUUUAAAAUUUAUCCUCUAAAAGAAUAUUCUAUUCUGGUUAUUGAGUUUUUUUCUCUAUUUCCAUUUCUCUUGCACUCGUCAU